UUUCGGUAGUUAACUGCUGAGG
rnacentral:miRNA from 1 species